GUUGCAUAAAAUUUUGUGAAAGUGUUAGUUAUUGUCCCAAAAUUCGAAAAUCCCCCCUUUUUUAAGCAUAAAAAUUCAUAACACGGAAAUGUAAAAUCUGAAAUUUAUAAAAAUUGAAAGGGAGCUUACAUCAAUAGAUAUAAACAAUUCACCAAAGUUUCAUGGGCAUUGGUGAAAGCUUUUUGAGUUAUUGUCCGAAGUGUUGAAAAUCCCCCUUUUUUAUGAAUAAAGCCCCAUAAAUCCAAAACUUAAAAUCUGAAAUUUAUAAAAAUUAAAAGGGAGCUUACAUCAAUAGAUAUAAACAAUUCACCAAAGUUUCAUGGACAUUGGUGAAAGCAUUUUUGAGUUAUUGUCCGAAGUGUUGAAAAUCACCCUUUUUUUUAUGAAUAAAAAACCCCAUAAAUCCAAAACUUAAAAUCUGAAAUUUAUAAAAAUUGAAAGGGAGCUUACAUCAAUAGAUAUAAACAAUUCACCAAAGUUUCAUGGACAUUGGUGAAAGCCUUUUUGAGUUAUUGUCCGAAGUGUUGAAAAUCCCCCUUUUUUUUAUGAAUAAAGCCCCAUAAAUCCAAAACUUAAAAUCUGAAAUUAUAAAAAUUGAAAGG
rnacentral:lncRNA from 1 species